UUGCACUCGGCAAGUCCUACACGACCAGCUCCCUUAGAAUCCUCCAGGGUGGGAACGCAGCAAAGGUAUAAGGUUGUAGCGGUGCGAUGUAGGUAGCUUGCCAUUUU
rfam:Capnocytophaga sp. oral taxon 338 str. F0234 genomic scaffold SCAFFOLD1, whole genome shotgun sequence.